CAGUACUCUGACGUGCGGUGAUAAUCAGGGAUAACUGCAAUAACCUAGAUAUUAACCAGUUAAAAAUAACAUCUAAACUUGACAUCAUACAUCGUCCCAUAAUCACAAAUUCCUCGGAUGCGAUGACUGCAGACGAGGCAGCGCAGGCACUCGAGAUGACUUUACAGCAGAUGUGCCAGGAGUGAUUUCCGGAGAAGAGGCCCUGUGGCAGGAAGGAUAACAAACCAUGGAUCUUAGCGAGGAUUUUGAAAAUGAUGGAUAAAAAGGCGACGUGUGUACAUUGCUGGGAACAUGGUACAAGGGAGAGAAUUAUACGUUGUAGUGAUACGAGAUAAAUGUAUAAAUAUAGAUAUAAAUAAAUAUAAAUAAAGAUAAAAGGGAUGAACGUAAA
rnacentral:lncRNA from 1 species